GUCAACGAAGAAGAAAAACCCGUGUGGAUAGUGUGCUCUCAGGAAUGGAGAAAACCGGAGUAUAGAUUUUAAUCUGGCAAAAUGGAUGGAUGCAUUCACGGCGAGUUUAGGAAAUUGAAUGAAAAAACGGAAAAGACGAUGCCGCAAUUGAUAGAGCUCGUGGGAAUGCU
ensembl:ncRNA F55C12.11 ncRNA